GGACCCGCACAAGCAGCGGAGCAUGUGGUUUAAUUCGAAGCAACACGAAGAACCUUACCAAGACUUGACAUCGUAUGACCGCCAUAGAGAUAUGGAAUUUUGCAGCAAUGCAGACAUAUAGACAGGUGGUGCAUGGUUGUCGUCAGCUCGUGUCGUGAGAUGUUGGGUUAAGUCCCGCAACGAGCGCAACCCUUAUAUCCAGUUGCCAAUAUUUAGUUAGGAACUCUGGAUAGACUGCCGUGGAUAACACGGAGGAAGGUGGGGAUGACGUCAAAUCAUCAUGCCCCUUACGUCUUGGGCUACACACGUGCUACAAUGGCUAUUACAAAGAGCAGCGAGACAGCAAUGUGGAGCAAAUCUCAAAAAAAUAGUCUCAGUUCAGAUUGUGGGCUGCAACCCGCCCACAUGAAGACGGAGUUGCUAGUAAUCCCGAAUCAGAAUGUCGGGGUGAAUGCGUUCCCGGGUCUU
rnacentral:rRNA from 1 species